GUAAGUAUAAUUUAAUUUAAAAUGUUAGAUUGUGAUUCUAAAAAUAGAGGUUAAAAUCCCCUUACUCACC
rnacentral:tRNA from 1 species